GAAGCGGGGCGCCGCGGGCUGGGGGCGGCCUGUGCAGCCCCGGCCUCGGCUCUGGACGCUGUCGGGCUAAAGCUGAGGGGUUAGGAGCUUAGGCGUGGCGGUCAGGCCUCCUCGCCGCUCUCCUCUCCGCCAGCAAUGGCAGGCCCUCGCGGAGCUGACUGGGCUCUGAGCCCCCUGACUGGACAUAGUUUGGUUGUCUGCAAAGAACAAGAGUCUAUGCUCCAGCACCUUCAGUUUGCUCUGAUAAUUAGAUGGAAAGGAUGUAAAGUGCUCAGCACAAUGCCCAUUGUCGAGUUCCGAUGGUAACGCAGCUUAGAGGUGAGAAAAUGAACGCAAGUAACAAGCACGUAUUUUCGACUAGCAUUUAUUAAGCACCCGCUAUUUGCCAGGACUACACCAAGCAUCUGUAUGACUAUAAGGAAUGAUUAUAAGGCAGCUACUCUUAAAUCUAAAGGAUCAGAAUUGAAAGCUAUCAUUUUGGUCUGUCUCUAUCGGAAGAACAUGAAAGAUUUCUCAGCUAUUAACACAGUACAUGUGACCACGUUAAAGCUCUGCUUGCCUGCUAGUGAACUCAGAUUAUCUGUGUGGUAACACAGAGAACCCUUCAAAGUCUGGCUACAUACCCAAAGCUGCUACUUUGAUGAUGAUUGCUUGAAUGUUGGAUGAUAUCAUUUCAUGGAGCAAAUCUUCCUGGUUUCUCUGCCAAAGGGUUAAUGUGAAGAUUGAGUAAAAUGAUCCAGAUAAACAACAGUAUUCCAGCACCUAGUAAACACUUAAUAAAUGUUUUCUUCUGUCAUCAUAAUCCUCUCUAUUACUACUACAACUACUACUUCUAUUUUGUGCUUUGGGAAUCUACAUACAACUUGGUUGGAUACCUCUGGAAGAAGAUUACAAAAGGAUUGAGAACAAUAGGAAGCAGAGAUCACUGAGGGCCAUCUUAGACGCUGCCAACUUCAACAGCACGGUACAGUACUGGAACAUCAGAAGUACUCAAUAAAUGUUCACCAAAUGAAAGGUAAGAAAAGUCUAUUAAUGAUAGGAUAUAGGUUAAAGUUGAUAGGAAAA